GACGAACGCUGGCGGCGUGCCUAAUACAUGCAAGUCGAGCGAAGCUGCGGAUGGGUGAGUAACGCGUGGGUAACCUGCCCUUAAGUCUGGGAUACCAUUUGGAAACAGAUGCUAAUACCGGAUACUAAAGGAGGGACCUGCGAUGCAUUUGCUAGUGGGUAAGGUAACGGCUUACCAAGGCGAUGAUGCAUAGGCGAGGGGAGAGGCGGAUAAGCCACAUUAGGACGGAGACACGGCCCGAACCACUACGUGAGGCAGCAGUAGGGAAUCUACCACAGUGGACGAAAGUCUGAUGGGGCAACGCCGCGUGAGGGAAGAAAGUUUUCGUAUCGUAAAGCUCAGUUGUUGGUGAAGCGGUAAUCAACCAGAAAGUCACGGCUAACUCCGUGCCAGCAGCCGCGGUAAUUC
rnacentral:rRNA from 1 species